rnacentral:rRNA from 1 species
CAAACCAAAGCUGGCGACCGGCGCACGGGUGAGUAACACGUAUCCAACCUGCCUCAUACUCGGGGAUAGCCUUUCGAAAGAAAGAUUAAUAUCCGAUAGCAUAUAUUUCCCGCAUGGGUUUUAUAUUAAAGAAAUUCGGUAUGAGAUGGGGAUGCGUUCCAUUAGUUUGUUGGGGGGUAACGGCCCACCUAGUCAACGAUGGAUAGGGGUUCUGAGAGGAAGGUCCCCCACAUUGGAACUGAGACACGGUCCAA